UACGUAGGGUGCGAGCGUUAAUCGGAAUUACUGGGCGUAAAGCGUGCGCAGGCGGUUUUGUAAGCCAGAUGUGAAAGCCCCGGGCUUAACCUGGGAAUGGCAUUUGGGACUGCAAGGCUUGAGUGCGGCAGAGGAGACUGGAAUUCCUGGUGUAGCAGUGAAAUGCGUAGAUAUCAGGAGGAAUACCGAUGGCAAAGGCAGGUCUCUGGGCUGACACUGACGCUCAUGCACGAAAGCGUGGGGAGCAAACAGG
rnacentral:rRNA from 1 species